CCUACGGGGUGCAGCAGUGGGGGAUAUUGCACAAUGGGGGAAACCCUGAUGCAGCGACGCCGCGUGUGGGAAGACGGUCCCCUGGAUUGUAAACCACUGUCCCCAGGGACGAAAAUGACGGUACCUGGGGAGGAAGCUCCGGCAAACUACGUGCCAGCAGCCGCGGUAAUACGCAGGGAGCGAGCGUUGUCCGGAAUUACUGGGGGUAAAGGGAGCGUAGGCGGGGAUGCAAGUUGGUGGUAAAAACUACCGGCUAAACUGGUAGUCGCACUCAAAACUGCAGCUCUUGAGGGAAGGAGAGGCAGGCGGAAUUCCUAGUGUAGCGGUGAAAUGCGUAGAUAUUGGGAAGAACACCAGUGGCGAAGGCGGCCUGCUGGGCUUGUUCUGACGCUGAGGCUCGAAAGUGUGGGUAGCAAACAGGAUUAGAUACCCUAGUAGUC
rnacentral:rRNA from 1 species